ACUCAAAUGAAUAGACGGGGACCCGCACAAGCGGUGGAUUAUGUGGAUUAAUUCGAUGCAACGCGAAAAACCUUACCUACCCUUGACAUGUCCCGAAGCCCGGUGAGAGCUGGGUGUGCCCGAAAGGGAACGGGAACACAGGUGCUGCAUGGCUGUCGUCAGCUCGUGUCGUGAGAUGUUGGGUUAAGUCCCGCAACGAGCGCAACCCUUGUCAUUAGUUGCUACAUUCAGUUGGGCACUCUAAUGAGACUGCCGGUGACAAACCGGAGGAAGGUGGGGAUGACGUCAAGUCCUCAUGGCCCUUAUGGGUAGGGCUUCACACGUAAUACAAUGGCGCGUACAGAGGGUUGCGAAGGAGCGAUCUGGAGCCAAUCCCUUAAAGCGCGUCGUAGUCCGGAUUGCAGUCUGCAACUCGACUGCAUGAAGUCGGAAUCGCUAGUAAUCGCGGAUCAGCAUGUCGCGGUGAAUACGUUCCCGGGUCUUGCACACACCGCCCGU
rnacentral:rRNA from 1 species